rnacentral:rRNA from 1 species
CAGUAGCCGCGGGAAUACGUAGGGUGCGAGCGUUAAUCGGAAUUACUGGGCGUAAAGCGUGCGCAGGCGGUUAUAUAAGACAGAUGUGAAAUCCCCGGGCUCAACCUGGGACCUGCAUUUGUGACUGUAUAGCUAGAGUACGGUAGAGGGGGAUGGAAUUCCGCGUGUAGCAGUGAAAUGCGUAGAUAUGCGGAGGAACACCGAUGGCGAAGGCAAUCCCCUGGACCUGUACUGACGCUCAUGCACGAAAGCGUGGGGAGCAAACAGGAUUAGAUACCCGGGUAGUCCCUGUCUCUUAUAC